AUUGAACGCUAGCGGGAUGCUUUACACAUGCAAGUCGAACGGAGUGGCGGACGUGUGAGUAAUAUAUGGGAACGUGCCCAGGAGCGGGGGAUAACUACUCGAAAGAGAGGCUAAUACCGCAUUCUAUGGGAGCGGCCGAUAUCGGAUUAGCUAGUGGGUGGGGUAAAGGCGCACCAAGGCAACGAUCCGUAGCUGGUUUGAGAGGACGACCAGCCACACUGGGACUGAGACACGGCCCAGACUCCUACGGGAGGCAGCAGUGGGGAAUUUUGGACAAUGGGGGAAACCCUGAUCCAGCCAUCCCGCGUGUAUGAUGAAGGCCUUCGGGUUGUAAAGUACUUUUGGCAGGAAAGCGGUACCUGCAGAAUAAGCACCGGCUAACUACGUGCCAGCAGCCGCGGUAAUAC
rnacentral:rRNA from 1 species